CAGGCUUGCAGAUCAGACACUAAGUUUCCCAAAGGGAAUAUUGAAGAACCUCUACGUCUGAGUUGGUACCUUAUACGCUCCAGCAGAUUUCAUGGUGAUAGAGACUGAUACUGAUGAGAGGGCACCCAUCAUCCUAGGGAGGCCAUUCCUGAACACCUCGGGAGCUGACAUCUACGCUAGUGCUGCCAAGAUCAGUUUCUACAUCAAGGGGAAGAAGGAGACGUUUUCCUUCAAGAACAAGACUACACAAAUCCCAGAGCAAUCCCGACAUGAACCAAGGAAGAGGACCAACAGGAGGAACAGGAACAAGCAAAUGUGUACCGAGUCAGCUAAGAUGGUCACUGCAACUCAAGGAGGUCAAGAUUGUCAACUCAAGUCACCUUUCUUGAUCAAGAAGGACGACCCUGGUGUUCCAAGCAUCGAGUGCAUAAUCAACGGAUAUUCUUUUCAGAAGACACUCUACGACACCGGAUCUAACGUCAACAUAAUGGCCGCAGUUCGGAUCGGUGUUUGUAGGACCGUAGUCAGACCUUCCUAGCCCCCUUCUCAUCUCUUUCUAUGGUUAGUGCUCUGAUGUCCCGAUAUAGAUAAUCUUGAAGUAAUUCUUGAUUCUUAGAUCAACUAGAGAACUCUCAGGAAACUUCCUCUCUUCCCACCAAAAAUAGUUAUAUAGUUAUCCUUGGGCGAUCUUGGAUCUUAAUUAGUACACUCACGUUCCCUGUGGAAAGUCGAUACUCUGGAAUACUCCCGGGUGAAAGCUACAUCGGUAUCCGUGCGCUUGCGGAUUUUUCUGUUUGCGUUUAAAAUACCCAACAAGCUUUUUGGCGCCGUUGCCGGGGAACGGUAGUUCUGCUAGUUUCGAACCAAGUCGUCCGUGUAUCCUUUUUCUUUUCCUUUCUUACCACACUCACCUUAUCAUUUUUACCAUACCACAUGGAUUUCACUCUAAGCAUUAUUGAGCAUGGAAUUUAUUUCAUAGCCACUUCAUUUACUCCAUGCUCAUAUGCAACAUCUUCACAAUCCAUUGGUCUCUCCAACAUCACCACAUUCGAGAUCUCCAACCCCCUCAUCCUUUCUAUUUAUAAAAACUUUAAAAUGGCGGUUGUCGAUGCAUAUGUCUAUAAGAAAUAUUGCAGAUCUCGUUGAGUUGAUCUUGAUAUAGGUCAGCAUUGGAGGGGAAACCACUUCGCCGACAUAAAUUGAUGGUUUCCCAAGGACAAGCUUAGUGUCCUAAAACAAGCACUGAUUAGAUCAUAACAUGAGCUUUUAAUUAUUUGCCACAUUACCUUGUGAGUUGAGCAUAUAAGGAUAAUUGUAAAAAAAUUCCUUCGGGUAUUCUUGUCACUAACCUUUCCAGGAUUGGAGCAAGAAGAUCGGAUGAAUGACAAACACAAGGUAUGUCCAACCAAUCAUCAUACAACAUUGAAUUAAAUUCAUCCAAACUUGAAUUUUGCAAAAUUCAAGCUUGGAGGAGUACUUUACAUAAAAACAUCCUUUGUCAUGUUGCUAUGUUGGUUGUCCCUACCUUUGAGACAUGCUCAAUUUGUUAAAUACUAAUCACACUACUUCAUCUCCACUUGAGUAGAUCUCUAUAAAUGCUCUCAUGCUACCUUUAUUUGCUUUAGUAUAUGUCUAGGUUUGGAGUAGUUUCAUUUAUCUCUUAAUUAAGCAUGGUGCUUAGUUUAGGAAUGAUGAUCUUACUUCCAAAGGAUUUUAAAUUAAGCAUGAUGCUUCGGUUAAAAUGCCCUCCUAAAAUCAAAUUAGACAUGGUGUCUAGGUUGAUCUUUGAGCCGAUAGUAUGCUAUAGUAGAUAUUGGAUAUUUUGUUGGACUAACCCCUGCAGGAAAACUUUAACUAUCGACCUGGGAAGUCCUGAGAUAAACUCACAUUGGAGACAAAGAGAGAGACACAUGAAAGUUAACAAUUUACACAAGGAAGGCAUAGCUCACAAGAGAUGAUCCAUGGAGGGUGCCACAAACACGAUGCACAACCACUAAGAGAGGAAAGCUUCCACAAGGUGAUAUUGUACCAUCACUCUUCAAGUAAGGUAACAUCUUAAGGUACUUGACUAUCACUUCUAUAAGCUUCUCCUUGAUUCUGGCGUUCACAUGAAUAAAAGAGACAAACAUGUAUGAUUUACAACUCUAGAUUAACCAACCCAAUCGAUUCAACAUGUUUAGUCCUUCCACCUUUGUGAUUCCACACUCCUAAUCAUAUGAACUAAAAUGUUGCACACUCAAUCUUUGGAAGAUAUAUAUAAAAAAAACAUAAAUAUAGAUAGAUUAUCUUUCCAUUAGGUUGAGCGAUUUGAUCUGACAAAUGUUUUAAAUGUUACACCCAUGAUCUUAUUAUCCAUCAACUUUGUCUUCCUCACUAUGCUUAAGGUUAGAGAAGAAUAAAUACACUUUUGGUUCUGUUGGUGUUUUCCACCAACUGGGCCCAUGCACUUGAUCUCUGCCUUGUCUUUAUGAGCAGGUACACUUCGAACAAAAUAUGAAGGAGUUUUAUAACUCCCAGACUCCACCAAGUGAAGAACCUAGAUCUACGAGCACAAACACACUGGAGAUACUGGACACUCAGGCAAUCACUGCCCUGAGAUGCUUGAGGACGUAACUACUGGAGUAACCCUAUUGUGGAAGUAAUUACUGACCUUCUGCCGGUCAAGAGAUACAAUCCAGGACGUCCCGUCAUCCCGAUCUCCAUCGGCAUGGUGGACUUCCUAGAAGCACUCUGCAACUUUGGCUCCAGCGUCAACAUUAUGCUCAGGCUUGCAGAUCAGACACUAAGUUUCCCAAAGGGAAUAUUGAAGAACCUCUACGUCUGAGUUGGUACCUUAUACGCUCCAGCAGAUUUCAUGGUGAUAGAGACUGAUACUGAUGAGAGGGCACCCAUCAUCCUAGGGAGGCCAUUCCUGAACACCUCGGGAGCUGACAUCUACGCUAGUGCUGCCAAGAUCAGUUUCUACAUCAAGGGGAAGAAGGAGACGUUUUCCUUCAAGAACAAGACUACACAAAUCCCAGAGCAAUCCCGACAUGAACCAAGGAAGAGGACCAACAGGAGGAACAGGAACAAGCAAAUGUGUACCGAGUCAGCUAAGAUGGUCACUGCAACUCAAGGAGGUCAAGAUUGUCAACUCAAGUCACCUUUCUUGAUCAAGAAGGACGACCCUGGUGUUCCAAGCAUCGAGUGCAUAAUCAACGGAUAUUCUUUUCAGAAGACACUCUACGACACCGGAUCUAACGUCAACAUAAUGGCCGC
rnacentral:lncRNA from 1 species